UAUCUUGUCAUUUACCCUAUUUGCAACUCUCCUUUUCUCAGUAACUCGGGGUGCAUAUCAUAUUAAAGGGAGGGCAGCCAUCUGCCCCUUCAUCUUAAAGAAGCAUAUGUGGCUCUGGAUAUUUUUUGAAAAGAAAAACUGCUUGGCUCACUGCAACCUCCACCUUCCAGGUUCAAGUGAUUCGCCUGCCUCAGCCUCCCAAGUAGCUGGGAUUACAGGCG
rnacentral:lncRNA from 1 species